CCUACGGGCGACAGCAGUGAGGAAUAUUGGUCAAUGGGCGCGAGCCUGAACCAGCCAAGUCGCGUGAGGGAAGACGGUCCUAUGGAUUGUAAACCUCUUUUGCCGGGGAGCAACGGGCGUCACGUGUGGCGCCACUGAGAGUACCCGGAGAAAAAGCAUCGGCUAACUCCGUGCCAGCAGCCGCGGUAAUACGGAGGAUGCGAGCGUUAUCCGGAUUUAUUGGGUUUAAAGGGUGCGUAGGCGGAUCGUUAAGUCAGUGGUCAAAUUGAGGGGCUCAACCCCUUCCCGCCAUUGAAACUGGCGUUCUUGAGUGGAAGAGAAGUAUGCGGAAUGCGUGGUGUAGCGGUGAAAUGCAUAGAUAUCACGCAGAACCCCGAUUGCGAAGGCAGCAUGCCGGCUUCCGACUGACGCUGAAGCACGAAAGCGUGGGGAUCGAACAGGAUUAGAUACCCGGGUAGUC
rnacentral:rRNA from 1 species